AUUGCACGCUGGCGGCAGGCCUAACACAUGCAAGUCGAACGCGUGGCGGACGGGUUAGUCAUGUAUGGGACACUGCCUGGUGGCGGGGGAUAACUACUGGAAACGGUAGCUAAUACCGCAUACACUCAGAUGUGCACAGAUGGGAUUAGCUAGUUGGGGGGGUAACGGCUCAACAAGGCGACGAUCCCUAGCUGGUCUGAGAGGAUGCCCAGCGACACUGGAACUGAGACACGGUCCAGACUCCGACGGGAGGCAGAAGUGGGGAAUAUUGCACAAUGGGCGAAAGCCUGAUGCAGCCAUGCCGCGUGUAUGAAGAAGGCCUUCGGGUUGUAAAGUACUUUCAGCGGGGAGGCGUUACCAGCAGAAGAAGCACCGGCUAACUCCGUGCCAACCGCCGCGGUAAUUC
rnacentral:rRNA from 1 species